GCAUAGGGAUAGCUCAGUCAGCAGAAGCAUGAGACUCUUAAUCUCAGGGUCGUGGGUUUGAACCCCACAUUGGGCA